CCUACGGGCUGCUGCAGUGAGGAAUAUUGGUCAAUGGGCGCGAGCCUGAACCAGCCAAGUCGCGUGAGGGAUGACGGUCCUAUGGAUUGUAAACCUCUUUUGUCGGGGAGCAAGGCCCGCCACGUGUGGCGGGAAGGAGAGUACCCGAAGAAAAAGCAUCGGCUAACUCCGUGCCAGCAGCCGCGGUAAUACGGAGGAUGCGAGCGUUAUCCGGAUUUAUUGGGUUUAAAGGGUGCGUAGGCGGAAGGUUAAGUCAGCGGUAAAAUGGCGGUGCUCAACACCGGCCUGCCGUUGAAACUGGUCUUCUUGAGUGAGCGAGAAGUAUGCGGAAUGCGUGGUGUAGCGGUGAAAUGCAUAGAUAUCACGCAGAACUCCGAUUGCGAAGGCAGCAUACCGGCGCUCAACUGACGCUGAGGCACGAAAGCGUGGGGAUCGAACAGGAUUAGAUACCCCUGUAGUC
rnacentral:rRNA from 1 species